CCAGAGCGUCUGGACCAAUCAGGGUGCAGGCUGCCGUUGUAGAUCCCGCCCUUCUCCCCCGGGUCUGCAGUACCGUUGGUUUUGCUCUAGAGAUCCGACGCGGUGAGACUGCUGAGCGGGGCAGCGCCAGAAGCCGUUAGGAAUCGUUGGCUCUUUCUGGCAGUUAUUUCAGCUUGUUCUUCAUAGAUAAAAGUGCCCCACACAUCCGGAUUGAGACCCACUAUACGGUUGUCUGAGGUGUGUCGCACUGAGAUCGGUCAGGGUUUUUCUUAUACUGGAUCAUUCCUGAAGUGGAUCCCUCCUUUGAUUUUGAUGGCGAGCUUUCCCACCUGGACCUAAAGAGAGAACAAGAUUUCGUCUAUCCCAUUUGGAGUCCUGCUGCACCCUGCAGUGUGGUAGAGAGUAACAUACAUCUUCACACACAGUUAUGUGUGAGACCUACAACUGACAUUCUCCAUUAUUAUUGUUUUUUUUUUUUAUUUAUUUGAUUACCAGGGUGCAACCGAAUUAUUUGAAAUUAAGAAUUAGCACUUGGCCAAGUAUUAUUGUUAUUUUUUAUUUUUUUGCAUUUUAUUGUGUGUAAUUUUAUUUUCAUAAUUGUGUGUUUUGUGCAACUGUUAAUUGUGUGUUUUCUGUUACUAAAACCAGUUCUUUAAAUACA